rnacentral:pre_miRNA from 1 species
GAGGUGCAAAUAUUCAGUUUGGUGUUUUCCUGAUGCCUCCCAUUCCUAUGGUUCUUGAGCACUCCUUCCUCUUCCUUUUGGCCUGCGAAAUGGCUUAACGAAGAAAUUGUAGGUAUUUGUGCAUACUUUUAGACAAUGUGAGGCAGGUCGGGAAGAGGAAGAGAAGAGGGCCUUAGAGCAGUGGGAGUGGGAACAUGGAGGAAAGCCUGACUUGCUUUGUUUUCACCUC